ACGUUUUCCAAAGUGGACCAACGUAAUUAUUUCACGUCUUGUCGUGAUACCCAUAGACAUCAUAUCUAUGGUGGUGAUACCGGGUUGCUUCAGGGCUGUAGUUUAGUGGGUGGGGCUUUGAGCGCACUGCAGACGUCGCGUGAUGAUGAGAGUGGCAGGUGAUUCAGCUCCUCUCGAUGGAUGCUGAGCGGAGCAGGGCGCGCGCGCGGGAGGGGCUGCUGUGUCUUCAUAAAUUCUCGUAUUGUAUGCAUCAGGACGGAGCUAAACCACAAUAUUCCAUAGAUUAAACCCCUCAAGAACCCGUAAUGCAUCUUUUAAAGUGGAUUUGUGUCCUGUCAUCUCUGACAACAUCGUUUUGAGGCGGGAAAAACAUUGCGAAUCGGACAUUUUGAGUAUUUCCUGAGAGGCUCGCGAGCGCGUUUAGUUCCACAACAAACUGAAUACAAAACAGCUUCGGGGAAAGGAAGAGAUUGGCAUAACAGAAGGUAAGACGUUGGCAAACCAUCAUGGCAUGGCCGUGUAUCUCCAGAGCCUGCUGUAUGGCUCGGUUCUGGAACCAACUUGACAAGGCCGACAUUGCGGUGCCGUUGGUUUUCACCAAGUACUCGGACGUGUCCGAAAUGCAGCAUCUUCACCUGCAGCAGAAGGUCGCCAUAGAAACGCAGCCGCUUCACAACGACCACGACGCGGUGACCAAAGGACCUCCAGCCCAUGAAGAGAUCAUCAGCGGAUCUGUGAUGCGCCAGGACUUUAAACACUGGAAAGUUCGUCCGGAGCCCAGCUGCAAGCCCAAAAACGACUAUCAUUGCCCUGAGGUCCCUUUUAACAACGAGACCCAGUAUCAGAAGGACUACAAACCCUGGCCUGUCCCAAAGAAGGGAGAUCAUCCUUGGAUCCCCAAACCCUCUCCGACCAUCUCAGUGGGCCAUGACCGCAUCCCUGACAGAUCCAAACACACCAAGACAGAUGUGAUCGACAGUGGGGUGGAAAAGAGUCAGAUUGCGGACAAGGUGCAAGAGAAGGAGAUCCUGUCUAGUGGAAGGAAAAAGAACCAAGCCAGGAAAGUGACCGUGGUUUCUGAAAUCAAAGCUGACUUAAAGUUGGAAGGGCAGGGCAUGGGGGAUGCCACCACUACAGAGGGAAAGGGAAGGGCAGAUGUGGAUGCCCUCAACCGGAAGAUCAAACAAGAAGUCACCUCUGGCAGCUCCUAUAGGAAUGAGUUCAAAGCCUAUGCAGAUGUGAAAUCUGUGAAGGUCUUCAGGCCCCAGUCUCAGUAUAAGCCUCCCGAUGAGAGGGCUAAUCUGGAGACUAGCUACAGCGCCACCUACAGGGGCUGCCAGGGCAGUCAGCAGCCGGAUGACAACAAGGGCCUGGAUAGGAGGAGGAUUCGCACACUGUACCAUGAACCUUACAGAGAGAGCAGCAAGGUAGAGAAAACCACUCGCUCCAAACCGAAAAAGGGCACCUCCACAUCUGCCACACCUGGCAAACCACUGAAGAAGACCAAGGAGAAGCAGGCGACAUCGGUGCGCGGCUCGAAGAAGAAGAGCUCCGAGAACCAGCCGGGGAGCAGAGCGGCGCAGGGCGACAAGGAGAAAAGUAAAGAGAUCAACAACAAACUGGCUGAGGCGAAAGAGUAAAAACCAUUGCACUUCUUCUCUCAUUUAAUCUCUUCCUGAAAGGGUGAAAGCAGAACGAAGGCUGCAAAAUUAUUUAACAAGAGGUUCUCAUUCCUUUACUAUUCUGUCCAUUGCUUCCUCUCUCUCUCUCUCUUUCUUUUUAUCUAUCUCUUUAUGUACCUCUCGUUUUAUUCCUCACUGAAUAUUUCCAAUACACCCCCCCCCCCCCCCCCUCUCUCUCUCUCUCUUCGUGAGGUCAGUGGGCUGUUUUUAGAACAUUUUCAGGGUUGGAUUUUGAUGUUUUGCCUCACAAUCUCGCCAGUAAUAUCAAAGCGUUUGCAUUUACUAUAGCUCCACCCACUCUCCUCAUCUUCACAACACGGUUUCCAUGGCAACCACUCUACUGGUUGGCUAGUGGAUGCUCUUAUCUUGCAUGGAGCCAUUGGCUAGAAGCUCUGUAUGUUUGACUUCCCAUCAGAUGCUCCGACUGGUGGGUUUCAUUUAUCAAGGGUUUUACAAUCAAGCUGAUUUGUGUAUGAUAAGCCAUUUUUAAAUCGGGCAACAUGUAAAAGCCACAAAGGCCAAUUUCUUUGUCCAAAAUCUUUGAUAAAUGUGCAUCUUUUACAGUUAUAUUGAUCUAUUACCUGCUUGCUUUGCCUGUUUUAUGUAAUCAUUUUAUUGAUUGAACACCCCAGGCUCCCAAGUGAUAUGUUAUGAUCUCAGAUCACUUUGGUGCUGUGAUUUUAUUUGUUUUCUUGCUAAUUUUUUCCAUCAUGAAAAUGUUGUUGGUUGAAUCAUUACAGGAUUAGAAUAUCUCCAAAUAGCUUUACGGGAACAUUGGUAUCUUCAAAAAGCCAUCAUAUAAAAAUUAGGCCCACUUGGUUUCCUGGACAGCCAACUGGAUUACUGUAACAUGAUAUUGCAUUAUGGGAUGUCAAUUUUGGAUAGAAUAGGAUGCUCACUGUGAUUUUUAUGUGCAAAACAAACCUGUAGAAAAUCUAAGAUAAACUAAAACAUGUUUUUGUAUUGUUUGGUUUUGAGGUGUUAGUGGGCUUUUAUUCCGUGAAAUAUGUACAGUAAGGACCACAACACAACCCUUAACACUAUCCUCCACUCUGCUCAGCUGUUUCACAUGCACAAACACUUCCCAUCCUCCCUAAGGGAGCCCCUGAGGUAGACAGAUGGGGGAUCCCAAAAGUAGAGGGAACUCAAAAGGUCAAUAGAUCAGCCAGCUUUAAAAUCAAAGCCCCUUUUUAUGUGAAUGCAGAUUCAGCGUAUUAAUUAUUAAUGGCUUUCCCCAGAGUGUUUCCUGCUUUGUUUGCUCCUGCAUCUCCCCUGUUGUUCAAUGACUGACAUGACUUGUAUUCUCGACUAAUUGUUCUGUUUAUUAUCACGUGUCCCCUGAUGUAUUGGUAAGUCGAAUGCAGUCUGUUUGGAAUGCUGUUUGUUUACUCUCAACUGCAUUAUCAUUGUCAUAUUUCUUUGUUUGUUUGUUUAUUUUCAAACGUAAGGCCUUUCCCAUGAUGCACAUGUACAAGAGGACAUUUUAUGCAGAAUUCUGUCAUCAUUUACUCACCUGAACAAAAACAUUUACAUCACAGAAGAAAGAACGGUAUAUGAGAUUGAAACAUGGAGUAAAGGAUGACAGAAUUUUCAUUUUUGAGCGAACUAUCCCUUUAAAUUUCAAUGCUGAUCCAUUCACAGAGAUGAUUUUGUGUUGCCAGUGAAACCUUUUGAUAUAUAAUCUGAUCAGGCCUGAUGUAACAGCACAUAAUCAUGGCUUUCAUUUUCCUUGCAUGUGACAUGACUGACGCAGAUCCAUGUCUGUUUGUGAUGGAAGAACUAAGGAUGUUGGUAGAUCAUGGGACUGAAUGACAUUCAUUUAGAGAAUCUGAGUCUGGCCUCGGACGAGUCAGCGAUUAUUAUUCCGAGGGUACCUCUGGAGGAGAACCACUGGUGGAACGAUCAGAACC